rnacentral:lncRNA from 1 species
CAGAAAUGUGCAGAGAUUUUGAUUGGACUCCUUUGAUCUUGGCGCGGAGUCCCCCAGGUACAGGUUCGUUAGCUCUCAUUAGGAGAAGCAGCGUUUUCCUCUGGUGGUGCACGUCCUUGUACAGCUAAUUGAAGAACCAUCACAGGCACUUUAUUGCUUCGUUACUUUUCGCGGGUGCCUUGGAUGCCUACAAUGACCGACCAGACGGUGCAAAACUGUGCUACUGGAUGAAAUUAAGAAAAUGAAAUCAAGAACUUGGCAAGUUGCACCAGGAGGCUGGGUCUGCAUUUGCAUAUCAAAGGCAGAGCUCCUGGAUGGAAAAUGUGCACUACUGUGAAAUGUGAUAGCGCUGUGCCCUGGGGUUCUGCUUUGGAAAGUGCUGAAAUGCGCAGUGCCAUUUGUGGAGGUGUAGGAAGCAUGUGAGAGGAUAUGGCACCUGGAGACUCCUGGCCAGCUACUGCCAGAGUGGGACCUGGCGAUGCAAGCUGAAGAUGGAUUUAGAUGCUGGAAGAGCUUUAUGGAGGAGAAAAGAGAAAUAGAGAAUGAGACGUGCGCCCCUACAGACACGGUGUUCAUUCCUCAUCAGCAAGGGACGGGUCUGCCUCAGACAUGGGAGAAUCUGCUGAUUGAAACAUCUUGCGCUGCCACCAAAGGGAGAUCUCCAGUUUGCAGAGAGAGGAAGAAGGGAAAUGAAGAAACUUGUGGAGGGGAAAUGCCAUGUCAGACACGGCCACUACUUAUUGUCCUGUAUUCAAAGGCCACCGGGCAGAAGGAAGUGUGUGUGGGAAGUGGGAGAGGCAGGAAUGAAACCUGA